rnacentral:rRNA from 1 species
GGGGAAUAUUGGACAAUGGGGGGAACCCUGAUCCAGCCAUGCCGCGUGUGUGAAGAAGGCCUUAUGGUUGUAAAGCACUUUAAGCGAGGAGGAGGCUCUCUUGGUUAAUACCCAAGAUGAGUGGACGUUACUCGCAGAAGAAGCACCGGCUAACUCCGUGCCAGCAGCCGCGGUAAUACGGAGGGUGCAAGCGUUAAUCGGAAUUACUGGGCGUAAAGCGCACGCAGGCGGUCUGUCAAGUCGGAUGUGAAAUCCCCGGGCUCAACCUGGGAACUGCAUUCGAAACUGGCAGGCUGGAGUCUUGUAGAGGGGGGUAGAAUUCCAGGUGUAGCGGUGAAAUGCGUAGAGAUCUGGAGGAAUACCGGUGGCGAAGGCGGCCCCCUGGACAAAGACUGACGCUCAGGUGCGAAAGCGUGGGGAGCAAAC